UACGUAGGGGGCAAGCGUUAUCCGGAUUUAUUGGGCGUAAAGAGCUCGUAGGCGGCCGUUCGCGUCGGAUGUGAAAGCUCAGGGCUCAACUCUGAGAUGCCAUUCGAUACGGGACGGCUAGAGGUAGGUAGGGGAGAGUGGAAUUCCUGGUGUAGCGGUGAAAUGCGUAGAGAUCGGGAGGAACACCAGAGGCGAAGGCGGCGACCUGGACAGGUACUGACACUCAACUACGAAAGCGUGGGGAGCAAACAGG
rnacentral:rRNA from 1 species